UAAGGAAUAUUGGUCAAUGGACGCAAGUCUGAACCAGCCAUGCCGCGUGAAGGAUGAAGGCCCUAUGGGUUGUAAACUUCUUUUGUACGGGAAAAAACCCUUCUUCGUGAAGGAGGUUGAUGGUACCGUAAGAAUAAGGAUCGGCUAACUCCGUGCCAGCAGCCGCGGUAAUACGGAGGAUCCAAGCGUUAUCCGGAUUUAUUGGGUUUAAAGGGUGCGUAGGUGGGUUAUUAAGUCAGUGGUGAAAGCCUGCAGCUUAACUGCAGAAUUGCCAUUGAUACUGAUAAUCUUGAGUACAGUUGAGGCGGGCGGAAUGUGUCAUGUAGCGGUGAAAUGCUUAGAUAUGACACAGAACACCGAUUGCGAAGGCAGCUCGCUAAACUGCAACUGACACUGAGGCACGAAAGCGUGGGGAGCAAACAG
rnacentral:rRNA from 1 species